rnacentral:rRNA from 1 species
UACGAGAGGUGCAAACGUUAUUCGGAAUCAUUGGGCGUAAAGGGUGUGUAGACGGCAAGAUAAGUCGAUUAUGAAAUUUCUUGGCUUAACCAAGAGUGUGUAGUCGAAACUGGAUUGCUUGAGGGUGGAAGAGAGAAGUGGAAUUCUCGGAGUAGCGGUAAAAUGCGUAGAUCUCGAGAGGAACACCGAUGGCGAAGGCAGCUUCUUGGUCCAUUUCUGACGUUGAAACACGAAAGCGUGGGGAGCAAACAGGAUUAGAUACCCUGGUAGUCCACGCUGUAAACGAUGAUCACUAGAUGUUAGAUUCGUUAUAGAAUUUAGUGUCGCAGCUAACGCGUUAAGUGAUCCGCCUGGGAAGUACGGUCGCAAGAUUAAA